rnacentral:lncRNA from 1 species
UUAAAUAAUAUAAAUUAUAAAAAUAAAAUCUUAAUUGAAAGAUAAAAAAUAAACAAACCUCCUAUCAAAAUAACCCUUAAAUCCCAACCCUAAAUCUCUCUCAACUCUCAAGUCUACUGCCGCCCUCCCCUCUCCCAUUUGGCCUCUCCGUCACUCGUCUGGUAUAGCCGUGCGCCUCCCGCCGAUCGCUCCUCUGCUCCACGCUGUCAACGUCGUUCUACGUUCGGUUCCUGCGUCCGCUGGUCUGCUUGCUUCUUUGCUCUUCUCCGCCGCUUCCUCUGCUCCAGUCUUACCGUCGGGUGCUGCUCCUCGCCGCGCCCUCAGUCACUGCACGAUAAUCUUUUGAAGGAAGAGGUAUUUUAUUUUAUCAUAUAAUUAAGCUAGUAAUUACUUAGUGAAUCUCCACCAUCUUCGGCUUGUCCUAAGCUUAAAGGAUGGCAGAAGAAGAGGGAUGAUUCGACAGCACUUGAGCNNN